rnacentral:rRNA from 1 species
GACGAACGCUGGCGGCGUGCUUAACACAUGCAAGUCGAACGGAAAGGCCCUGCUUUUGUGGGGUGCUCGAGUGGCGAACGGGUGAGUAACACGUGAGUAACCUGCCCUUGACUUUGGGAUAACUUCAGGAAACUGGGGCUAAUACCGGAUAGGAGCUCCUGCUGCAUGGUGGGGGUUGGAAAGUUUCGGCGGUUGGGGAUGGACUCGCGGCUUAUCAGCUUGUUGGUGGGGUAGUGGCUUACCAAGGCUUUGACGGGUAGCCGGCCUGAGAGGGUGACCGGCCACAUUGGGACUGGGAAACGGCCCGGACGCAUACGGGAGGCAGGGGUGGGAAAUAUUGCACAAUGGGCGGAGGCCUGAUGGAGCAACGCCGGGUGGGGGAGGACGGCCUUCGGGUUGUAAACCGCUUUCGCCUGUGACGAAGCGUGAGGGACGGUAAUGGAUAAAGAAGCACCGGCUAACUACGU